rnacentral:rRNA from 1 species
UUGACCUCGGAUCAGGUAGGAAUACCCGCUGAACUUAAGCAUAUCAAUAAGCGGAGGAAAAGAAACCAACAGGGAUUGCCCCAGUAACGGCGAGUGAAGCGGCAACAGCUCAAAUUUGAAAUCUGGUCCCUAGGGCCCGAGUUGUAAUUUGUAGAGGAUGCUUUUGGUGAGGUGCCGCCCGAGUUCCCUGGAACGGGACGCCACAGAGGGUGAGAGCCCCGUCUGGCUGGCCGCCGAGCCUCUGUAAAGCUCCUUCGACGAGUCGAGUAGUUUGGGAAUGCUGCUCAAAAUGGGAGGUAUAUGUCUUCUAAAGCUAAAUAUUGGCCAGAGACCGAUAGCGCACAAGUAGAGUGAUCGAAAGAUGAAAAGCACCUUGAAAAGAGGGUUAAAUAGUACGUGAAAUUGUUGAAAGGGAAGCGCUUGUGACCAGACUUGGGCGCGGCGGAUCAUCCGGGGUUCUCUCCGGUGCACUUCGCCGCGUCUAGGCCAGCAUCAGUUCGUCGCGGGGGAAAAAGGCUUCGGGAACGUGGCUCCUCCGGGAGUGUUAUAGCCCGUUGCAUAAUACCCUGCGGUGGACUGA